GUGCUCACUUCAGCAGCACAUAUACUAAAAUUGGAACGAUACAGAGAAGAUUAGCAUGGCCCCUGCACAUAUGUGUGUAUGUAUAUAUAUAUAUGUGUAUAUAUAUAU